GAUAGCGGGUUUGCGGCCCUGGCAUCUUUACUACCGCCGGGGACCGGGGAGAAGGGCUGGCGCCGGGGAACCUGAGGGAAGGAGCCCGCCGCCCAGCCACGGACACACCUGCUCCUCCAGCCGCUCGAUCUCCAGCUGGUUCUUCUCUUCCUCCUCGUCAUACUCCCAUUCGUACUCCCCGGGGGAGCUCUCCGCAGAGGAAGCCAUGGCGUACUCCUCGUCCCCAUCGCUCUCGCUCACGCCUUCCUCCCGCUGGUCCCACCCCGGCCCCACGGCCUUGUAGGUCGCAGCGGCCACGGCCCGCGACAACACCUUCCUCCUCGUCCUAGCCGCCUUAGCCUCAUCCUCCUCGCCCUCCGCGGUGGGCCCGGCCUGGGGCUCGGCCUCCGCCUCCGAAGCCGAGGUUGCAGCCGCCGUCGCCAUCUUGCGCCUCCAGUGACUCCCGGGUCUUCUCUGGGCGGCCGAGGACCCGCCGAGGUAGAAGCUGCCCGCGGCGUGCGCCUGACCAAAACCCCCGCUCUCGGGCCACCGAAGGCGAAACUGUGAGCCUCGGCUGACGGGAAAAUCUCGGAAUUUUAUACUGCUUUUGCGACAGCAGACAGCCUGAUCUUGGGCAGAUAGGAAUAAGUGGCUCCUUGUUCAAAACAACAGGGCAGAAAGUACAGGACCGUAUGAGACACCCACUUCCUGUGACAAUCCGCCGGGGACCACAUCCUGGUUCAGCAGCUGCACGGUUACUCCCCCUCAAAAGAUCCCGCCACUGUAACCCAGAGAAACCUUCCCUCCCCCUGACGCCCUAGUGGUCUCCUCCUUAAGGAGCCCCUCCCGGGCAGCGGGAGUCUCUUUGUUUCAUUCUCGCCCUAAUAAAUCUGGUGCCUGUGCUGCCCUCAACCUUGUUGGUUCCAUUCUUCAGAACACAAUCCCGGUUUUAAAAAGCGGUUACAGCUUUGGAGCUCAUCGGAGAUCUCCACUCUUCUAACCGUAAGUAAGGAGCAGCCGGCAUCCUAUUUCCUAUCCUACGUGAACUCUCAAACAAUGGGCACCUGUCUGCCAGUUAAGAGUGAAUAAGGCGCUGCCAUCCUUAAAGCCUCGGGCAACAGGUUCCCUGGGUCUCCACCCAGCUGCACGCCAACGGAGCUAGGAAAGUGGAUGCGGUGGAGACUCAGUUUCCCAAUGCAUGGGACUUAGCGGAGGCCAAUAACUGAUGAGUCCUAACCGAACUACUCUUUGGUGGACGCCUGAAGGCUGUUGGCAGAACCCGACCCCUGACCGUAUUGGGUAUUCCGCUCAAUUUUCCUUUCUGUCUCGACCAGCCUCUUCCUUCGGGAAAUGAGUGGAAAAGCCCAGGACUGAUCCCUCGGAUAUCUUCCCAGGAGUGAUCCGGUAACUUCCAAAGGGUCCUACUUCCAGGUUUCCCAAACUACUUGCUUCCAAUUCUGACACCCUGGCCUGGCUCCUCUCCCAUGUCCACACUUUCUACCUUUCAUCUUCAAACUUCUCUUCUGGAGCUUACAGCCCUGACCCGGGCCUGGAGCUCUAGUGAAGGGUAAAAAGGUCAAUAUGUAUACAGACUCUAAGUAUGCUUACUUGGUCCUUCAUCUCCAUGCUGUCAUCUGGAGAGAAAGAAACUUUCUAACAGCCACUGGGACUCCUAUCAAGUUCCACCAGGAGAUAGGCCAUUUACUCAUCUAGAGAGCACUACAAGAAAACGAAAACACCCCACAGCACAUACAAGGAAGACCUCUAUGUCAGAGCAUCUAGUCCUAGUUAAAUCUCUUCCUUCCUCUACCCCAACACUUCAGCCUUCCUCGGGGGGCCCCUGCCUGGUGAUCCUCUCCACCCCUUCUGCUGGUACGACUUCAGGAGUUGCCUGGAUUCACCACACUCGUCUAAAGCCCUGGCAGGCCCCGCACGCACGAUCCUCAGAAGGAAGGCGACCACUAUACUUAGUCCUUACACCUCCAAACGGUCCUCUCAAUGCACCCAGCCACGAAGUGCCAUCAGACUUUAACAGGGGGCCACGAAACAGACCCCACAGGGAGGGACUCUAGCUGCUGCUCAUCUCCAUGCCCCAUCUCAGCAUGAAGAAGUCGGAGGGGUCAUCACCACAUACCCCAAGGGCAGUUGGAGUCACCUCCUCUUAGGGGUGGGGUCUGUGACAAGAGAAGGACUGACCUUGGGCAGAUAGGGAUAAGUGGCUCCUUGGUAACAUCAAUAGGGCAGAAAGCACCUGAGUUUCUGAAAACACCCACUUCCUGAAACAAUCCAGUGGGGACCAUAUCCUGGUUCAUUAGCUGAACAGUAACUCCCCCUCAAAAGGUCCUGCCACUGCAAUCCCUACAAAGCCCUCCCUCUCCCACGAUUUAGUGGCCUCCACAAGGAGCCCCUUCCGGGUCAAGGGAGUCUCUGUUUCAUUCUCACCCUAAUAAACUUGGUGCCUGU